ACGGGAGGCAGCAGUGGGGAAUAUUGGACAAUGGGGGAAACCCUGAUCCAGCGACGCCGCGUGAGUGAAGAAGUAUUUCGGUAUGUAAAGCUCUAUCAGCAGGGAAGAUAAUGACGGUACCUGACUAAGAAGCCCCGGCUAACUACGUGCCAGCAGCCGCGGUAAUACGUAGGGGGCAAGCGUUAUCCGGAUUUACUGGGUGUAAAGGGAGCGUAGACGGAAUAGCAAGUCUGAAGUGAAAUGUAGGGGCUCAACCCCUGAACUGCUUUGGAAACUGUUGAUCUUGAGUACCGGAGGGGCAGGCGGAAUUCCUGGUGUAGCGGUGAAAUGCGUAGAUAUCAGGAAGAACACCGGUGGCGAAGGCGGCCUGCUGGACGGUAACUGACGUUGAGGCUCGAAAGCGUGGGGAGCAAACAGGAUUAGAUACCCUGGUA
rnacentral:rRNA from 1 species